UGUUGUUUUUUAAUUGACAGAAGAGAAAACAGAGAUGGAUGUGUUAAAGUACUAUGAUGAGGAAAAGAGUUCAGAAUCAGCAAAAUGCUCCAGGAAAGAUUGCUAAAGCAGACACAAAGCCAGUCUACAUUAAAGUGCUGACAUGUCAGACGGAGGAGGGAGCAAUAUUUGCUCUGUAAAGCCUGGGGAACAUCUUUUAAAACUCAUAGCCAUCAUUAAGCAUGACAGCUCCUGUCUAUUUUAAUGAGAAGAGGUCAGUGCAAAAAGGAGAGUUUUUUUUCAAUUUUUUGGACGGGGUGAUACUGCAGUAUACUUGAAGGACUAUGUACACGAUAGAUACACAAAUAUAAAUGAUGACUUUUCUCUAUGGUUGCUCAGGACGUCUAUCUGUCUUUAGUGUUUCUGUCUCAGCAACAUAAAAUAAUUAUACUGUAUUUAGGAUUGUGGAUUAGUUUAGAUUAAUCGUGAUUAACUACCAGCAGGGAUUAAACCAAAGCUACGCUGAGAUUACUCAGAUAAAAAAAAGACAACCCUUGUUUUAAUGCAUUUCAUCCUAAUUGGAUCCCAGUCCCUUGUCCACUCUGGUCACGUCCAGAGAAAAAUUUCAGAAUCUUUGACGAUGGCACCACCAGCUCAGUUUCCUGUUGAAUUAUACAGUGCAACUGCUUCCCUACCAUACAUCAAGGUCCUUACCCAGGUGUAGCUCUCUUUUCCCUUUUGCUGCUGUCUCUCUGUCCUACAUCAACCUGACCCUCAUCUCUAUCCUGUCUACACCCUCUCCGUCGCCUGCCUGCUGUCCUUUUGUGGAUGGCUGACUUUAGAUUUUCAAACUUUUUAUGAAUAGUAGUUUUGGAAUAUUAAAAAUGUUAUAAAAAUACAAUACACCUAAUGAUACAGAUACAGAAUUUUGCUAUAAAUGUCCAUGAUUUUUUAAUUACAGUGCAGCGUGACUUGUGUAAGGGCUGCAGGACUUUGCUUGUGGAAAAGUUAAACAAACAAUGUGCUAUUCAAAACAAGCUAUUAAUAGUAAAAAAAAAAAAAAAAGAAGAAGAAGCAGAUCAUGCUGGGACUUUUAAUUAGGGCUUUAAUGAAUCCGAGUGAGCUGGGAAAGUCAUCCAGUCAGACCUACUCAUGUCACACCAGCCUUAGGCAGUGCAGGGUUUGCAUCAGAUACAACCUCCUGUACUCAGUUAGCAAAAAUAAACAAAUAGAAAUAUGUUUUCCAACCAUGCUGGUUCUUCUACAUGAAAAACGUUCUUAUCAGAUUCGGGUGUUUUACUGCAUUGCGAUUUAAGCAACAGUAAAAACAACAGUGUAAUGGCCCAGCUGCAGAUGAUCAUAGUGUAUUCAUCUAUUUCAAAAUAUGCAUUUGCAGAGUUUUCAUUUUCAUGGUUUCUGUGACUGCGCUGCUUGUUGGAGUAUAAAGGCAACAACUGGGAGGGACAGGCCAUCCAGAAGAGCAACGCGUGAGCUGAAAAUAGGCGUCAAUUAGCUCAUAUUGUUUCAUUAAGAACCAAACACUCCUCAUUUGCCUUCGUUUAUUAAUUCACUGCACAAUUACGGUGUCAGCAGCUGUUGUCUCUGCUUCACAGGACUUGAUUUGCAAUAAGUUUAUAGGUCUAAGAUGUGAAAUUGUGCACGUGUUAUUAGACACGUGUGCACAUGCAUAUUGAAUCAGUGCUGGUCUGUUAUUUUAAUAUAGUAAUUGAAUAUUCGUAAAUAAUUUACGAAUAGUUUGACGCCAAGCCUUGACACUGACUAUUGUGGAGUAAUUAUUUUUGGUAAUGUGUUGUAAUUUGUUCCACAUUUAAUAUACUUUGAAACUCCAUGAACCUUCUUCUGUGACACCGUGUUCUAAUCAUAAAAACACUUAGACGAGGCACUCUAACUCAUGACGGGGGUUUUUUACUCUUGCACACAGUGUUCCUCGAUCAUGAUUUUUUAUUCAGCUCUGCUGUGAAUGUGAUCAGAUGCUGUGACUCACUGACAUAAAUGAAUAUAAUAAUGGGAAAAGCAAGUACGGAGAGGGCCUGAAGGUUUGAAAAAGUUUUAAAAAUUUGUACCGACCUCCUCCACAUCUAUGCACCACGUCAACACACACAUUGAAGGACUUAUACUUUGUGGCUUUGAGUAACACAGCAGGCAAGAAUUCACAUUUUUAUUUAAGCAAUGUGAUCAGAUGUUGACUUACACUGAGGAUAUUUUGGCUUUAUUCUAGAUAUGACUGUGACCAACAGGAGGCGCAAACAACCAGUAAUUCCAAAAGGGCAAGAUUUUUCCAUUUUAAUAGCUGUGAGACGGCUGGAGCCAAUCCCAUCAUUCAUCAGGUGGGAUCAGUCCCUGGAAGAAAACUACACAAACAACGGCCAAGUCCAUACACUUCUGUCGAGUGGACAUCCUGAGCCCCGGAGCAAAUCAAAAUUUCAGACUGGACUUUCAGCAUUAGCAUGGAUGACUACAGGAGGAUGGACUUUGUGUUCAAACAAUCAGAAAUGUUGGUGAGUAAAAUACAUUUUGCCUAUUUAUUAAUAUUGUAAUUUGUUAAGUUAGUUGUAAAAUUUGUAAAGUUAUUAUUAAUGUUUUUUGUUGUGUGUGACUGAAUUGUGCUACUUGGGUUUGUUGCUUCAGUAAUGGUUGUUGUCAUGACUACAUGAGUUGUCUUGGCUGUUAUACUACAUUUCUUUAUCAUUUUGAUGGUUUCUAAAGCCAUAAUGAUGUUAUUAAGAUGUGGAUUUAUUCAGGUAGAACGCCACUGGAGGCCUUGGUGUGAAAUACACGUUUGGAGUAAAAACAUUUGUUUUCGAACAUUUUUAAACUUAUCAUUAAAUUGGCAGCUUUACAUACAUAAGAUAAAACUGAACU